rnacentral:lncRNA from 1 species
UUUUUUUUUUUUUUUUUUGAGAGAGAUAGGUAGCGCGCUACCCGCUUCGUUUAUUUCAUUUAGAAAUAAACUUAGCUGGAAAUGUGAAUCAACUAGGAUUCGAACUUGGAACCUCGGGUACCAACCACCAAGUCCUUUGCCACUUGCUCUAAGGACGGUCGGUGAUACCUAGCAGCUAGUCUAUCAAUUUAUGGUGUAAAGUAUAUUUUUUAAAUCUACUCUUUUUU